rnacentral:rRNA from 1 species
GACGAACGCUGGCGGCGUACUUAACGCAUGCAAGUCGAACGGAAAGGCCCUGCUUUUGUGGGGUGCUCGAGUGGCGAACGGGUGAGUAACACGUGAGUAACCUGCCCUUGACUUUGGGAUAACUUCAGGAAACUGGGGCUAAUACCGGAUAGGAGCUCCUGCUGCAUGGUGGGGGUUGGAAAGUUUCGGCGGUUGGGGAUGGACCCGCGGCUUAUCAGCUUGUUGGUGGGGUAGUGGCUUACCAAGGCUUUGACGGGUAGCCGGCCUGAGAGGGUGACCGGCCACAUUGGGACUGAGAUACGGCCCAGACUCCUACGGGAGGCAGCAGUGGGGAAUAUUGCACAAUGGGCGGAAGCCUGAUGCAGCAACGCCGCGUGCGGGAUGACGGCCUUCGGGUUGUAAACCGCUUUCGCCUGUGACGAAGCGUGAGUGACGGUAAUGGGUAAAGAAGCACCGGCUAACUACGUGCCAGCAGCCGCGGUAAUACGUAGGGUGCGAGCGUUGUCCGGAUUUAUUGGGCGUAAAGGGCUCGUAGGUGGUUGAUCGCGUCGGAAGUGUAAUCUUGGGGCUUAACCCUGAGCGUGCUUUCGAUACGGGUUGACUUGAGGAAGGUAGGGGAGAAUGGAAUUCCUGGUGGAGCGGUGGAAUGCGCAGAUAUCAGGAGGAACACCAGUGGCGAAGGCGGUUCUCUGGGCCUUUCCUGACGCUGAGGAGCGAAAGCGUGGGGAGCGAACAGGCUUAGAUACCCUGGUAGUCCACGCUGUAAACGGUGGGUACUAGGUGUGGGGUCCAUUCCACGGGUUCCGUGCCGUAGCUAACGCUUUAAGUACCCCGCCUGGGGAGUACGGCCGCAAGGCUAAAACUCAAAGGAAUUGACGGGGCCCCGCACAAGCGGCGGAGCAUGCGGAUUAAUUCGAUGCAACGCGUAGAACCUUACCUGGGUUUGACAUGGAUCGGGAGUGCUCAGAGAUGGGUGUGCCUCUUUUGGGGUCGGUUCACAGGUGGUGCAUGGCUGUCGUCAGCUCGUGUCGUGAGAUGUUGGGUUAAGUCCCGCAACGAGCGCAACCCUUGUUCACUGUUGCCAGCACGUUAUGGUGGGGACUCAGUGGAGACCGCCGGGGUCAACUCGGAGGAAGGUGGGGAUGACGUCAAGUCAUCAUGCCCCUUAUGUCCAGGGCUUCACGCAUGCUACAAUGGCUGGUACAGAGAGUGGCGAGCCUGUGAGGGUGAGCGAAUCUCGGAAAGCCGGUCUCAGUUCGGAUUGGGGUCUGCAACUCGACCUCAUGAAGUCGGAGUCGCUAGUAAUCGCAGAUCAGCAACGCUGCGGUGAAUACGUUCCCGGG